GACAUUUGGAAAUACAAAGAGAUUUUCGAGGAUCCUGAAAUCAGGGCACAGGUGCGGCUGCCAGCCCUGCCUCCUGUUCAUGCUGGCUCUUGAGUGUCCCUGAUAGUGCAGAAAGGUGUAUACUAAACAACAUUUGGAAGAAGAAAAACCUGGCAUCAUUCUGAGAAAGUAUUUUCUCUAACUCUGAGCAUACAGUUAAUUCUAUGGAUAAACUGAAAGGAACAGGAUGGAUAUUGGACAGCUUCCCUGCUUUUCUAGAAUCAAAUGCAAAACUAUUGUUUUAAUUCAAAUCAAUUAUCAAACUGUGCCACAUUAUUCUUCUUAUUUUUAAUCCAACAUUUAAGGAGCACCUUCUGUGAGCAAGAUCAUUCUCUGGACAUAAGUAAAGAAUUAUACCUUACAAGAUUGCAUAUA
rnacentral:lncRNA from 1 species